ACGUCUCAGUUCGGAUUGCAGUCUGCAACUCGACUGCAUGAAGCUGGAAUCGCUAGUAAUCGCGAAUCAGAAUGUCGCGGUGAAUACGUUCCCGGGUCUUGUACACACCGCCCGUCACACCAUGGGAGUCGGGAAUGCCCGAAGUCAGUGACCCAACCGAAAGGGGGAGCUGCCGAAGGCAGGCCUGGUAACUGGGGUGAAGUCGUAACAAGGUACC
rnacentral:rRNA from 1 species